UUAAGCGACUAAGCGUACACGGUGGAUGCCCUGGCAGUCAGAGGCGAUGAAGGACGUGCUAAUCUGCGAAAAGCGUCGGUAAGGUGAUAUGAACCGUUAUAGCCGGCGAUGUCCGAAUGGGGAAACCCAGUGUGAUUCGUCACACUAUCGUUAACUGAAUACAUAGGUUAACGAGGCGAACCGGGGGAACUGAAACAUCUAAGUACCCCGAGGAAAAGAAAUCAACCGAGAUUCCCCCAGUAGCGGCGAGCGAACGGGGAGCAGCCCAGAGUCUGAAUCAGCUUGUGUGUUAGUGGAACGGUCUGGAAAGUCCGACGGUACAGGGUGAUAGUCCCGUACACCAAAAUGCACAGGCUGUGAACUCGAAGAGUAGGGCGGGACACGUGGUAUCCUGUCUGAAUAUGGGGGGACCAUCCUCCAAGGCUAAAUACUCCUGACUGACCGAUAGUGAACCAGUACCGUGAGGGAAAGGCGAAAAGAACCCCGGCGAGGGGAGUGAAAAAGAACCUGAAACCGUGUACGUACAAGCAGUGGGAGCACCUUCGGGUGUGACUGCGUACCUUUUGUAUAAUGGGUCAGCGACUUAUAUUCUGUAGCAAGGUUAACCGUAUAGGGGAGCCGCAGGGAAACCGAGUCUUAACUGGGCGUUAAGUUGCAGGGUAUAGACCCGAAACCCGGUGAUCUAGCCAUGGGCAGGUUGAAGGUUGGGUAACACUAACUGGAGGACCGAACCGACUAAUGUUGAAAAAUUAGCGGAUGACUUGUGGCUGGGGGUGAAAGGCCAAUCAAACCGGGAGAUAGCUGGUUCUCCCCGAAAGCUAUUUAGGUAGCGCCUCGUGAAUUCAUCUUCGGGGGUAGAGCACUGUUUCGGCUAGGGGGUCAUCCCGACUUACCAACCCGAUGCAAACUACGAAUACCGAAGAAUGUUAUCACGGGAGACACACGGCGGGUGCUAACGUCCGUCGUGAAGAGGGAAACAACCCAGACCGCCAGCUAAGGUCCCAAAGUCACAGUUAAGUGGGAAACGAUGUGGGAAGGCACAGACAGCCAGGAUGUUGGCUUAGAAGCAGCCAUCAUUUAAAGAAAGCGUAAUAGCUCACUGGUCGAGUCGGCCUGCGCGGAAGAUGUAACGGGGCUAAACUGUGCACCGAAGCUGCGGCAGCGACACUAUGUGUUGUUGGGUAGGGGAGCGUUCUGUAAGCCUGCGAAGGUGGCCUGUGAGGGUUGCUGGAGGUAUCAGAAGUGCGAAUGCUGACAUAAGUAACGAUAAUGCGGGUGAAAAGCCCGCACGCCGGAAGACCAAGGGUUCCUGUCCAACGUUAAUCGGGGCAGGGUGAGUCGACCCCUAAGGCGAGGCCGAAAGGCGUAGUCGAUGGGAAACAGGUUAAUAUUCCUGUACUUGGUGUUACUGCGAAGGGGGGACGGAGAAGGCUAUGUUAGCCGGGCGACGGUUGUCCCGGUUUAAGCAUGUAGGCGGAGGUUCCAGGUAAAUCCGGUACCUUUUAACGCUGAGGUGUGAUGACGAGGCACUACGGUGCUGAAGUAACAAAUGCCCUGCUUCCAGGAAAAGCCUCUAAGCAUCAGGUAACAUUGAAUCGUACCCCAAACCGACACAGGUGGUCAGGUAGAGAAUACCAAGGCGCUUGAGAGAACUCGGGUGAAGGAACUAGGCAAAAUGGUGCCGUAACUUCGGGAGAAGGCACGCUGAUAUGUAGGUGAAGCCCCUGCGGGUGGAGCUGAAAUCAGUCGAAGAUACCAGCUGGCUGCAACUGUUUAUUAAAAACACAGCACUGUGCAAACACGAAAGUGGACGUAUACGGUGUGACGCCUGCCCGGUGCCGGAAGGUUAAUUGAUGGGGUUAUCCGUAAGGAGAAGCUCUUGAUCGAAGCCCCGGUAAACGGCGGCCGUAACUAUAACGGUCCUAAGGUAGCGAAAUUCCUUGUCGGGUAAGUUCCGACCUGCACGAAUGGCGUAAUGAUGGCCAGGCUGUCUCCACCCGAGACUCAGUGAAAUUGAACUCGCUGUGAAGAUGCAGUGUACCCGCGGCAAGACGGAAAGACCCCGUGAACCUUUACUAUAGCUUGACACUGAACAUUGAGCCUUGAUGUGUAGGAUAGGUGGGAGGCUUUGAAGCGUGGACGCCAGUCUGCGUGGAGCCAACCUUGAAAUACCACCCUUUAAUGUUUGAUGUUCUAACGUUGGCCCCUGACCGGGGUUGCGGACAGUGUCUGGUGGGUAGUUUGACUGGGGCGGUCUCCUCCCAAAGAGUAACGGAGGAGCACGAAGGUUAGCUAAUCCUGGUCGGACAUCAGGAGGUUAGUGCAAUGGCAUAAGCUAGCUUGACUGCGAGCGUGACGGCGCGAGCAGGUGCGAAAGCAGGUCAUAGUGAUCCGGUGGUUCUGAAUGGAAGGGCCAUCGCUCAACGGAUAAAAGGUACUCCGGGGAUAACAGGCUGAUACCGCCCAAGAGUUCAUAUCGACGGCGGUGUUUGGCACCUCGAUGUCGGCUCAUCACAUCCUGGGGCUGAAGUAGGUCCCAAGGGUAUGGCUGUUCGCCAUUUAAAGUGGUACGCGAGCUGGGUUUAGAACGUCGUGAGACAGUUCGGUCCCUAUCUGCCGUGGGCGCUGGAGAAUUGAGGGGGGCUGCUCCUAGUACGAGAGGACCGGAGUGGACGCAUCACUGGUGUUCGGGUUGUCAUGCCAAUGGCAUUGCCCGGUAGCUAAAUGCGGAAGAGAUAAGUGCUGAAAGCAUCUAAGCACGAAACUUGCCCCGAGAUGAGUUCUCCCUGAGACUUUAAGUCUCCUGAAGGAACGUUAAAGACGAUGACGUUGAUAGGUCGGGUGUGUAAGCGUAGCGAUACGUUGAGCUAACCGAUACUAAUGAACCGUGAGGCUUAACCU
rnacentral:rRNA from 1 species